rnacentral:rRNA from 1 species
GGAUUAGAUACCCUGGUAGUCCAUGCCGUAAACGAUGUCAACUAGCCGUUGGGGGAUUUGAUCCUUUAGUGGCGCAGCUAACGCGAUAAGUUGACCGCCUGGGGAGUACGGUCGCAAGACUAAAACUCAAAUGAAUUGACGGGGGCCCGCACAAGCGGUGGAGCAUGUGGUUUAAUUCGAUGCAACGCGAAGAACCUUACCUGGUCUUGACAUAGUGAGAAUCCUGCAGAGAUGCGGGAGUGCCUUCGGGAAUUCACAUACAGGUGCUGCAUGGCUGUCGUCAGCUCGUGUCG